rnacentral:rRNA from 1 species
GAUGAACGCUGGCGGCGUGCCUAAUACAUGCCUGUCGAGCGAACAGACGAGGAGCUUGUUCCUCUAACGUUAGCGGCGGACGGGUGAGUAACACGUGGAUAACCUACCUAUAAGACUGGGAUAACUUCGGGAAACCGGAGCUAAUACCGGAUAAUAUAUUGAACCGCUUGGUUCAAUAGUGAAAGACGGUUUUGCUGUCACUUAUAGAUGGAUCCGCGCCGCAUUAGCUAGUUGGUAAGGUAACGGCUUACCAAGGCAACGAUGCGUAGCCGACCUGAGAGGGUGAUCGGCCACACUGGAACUGAGACACGGUCCAGACUCCUACGGGAGGCAGCAGUAGGGAAUCUUCCGCAAUGGGCGAAAGCCUGACGGAGCAACGCCGCGUGAGUGAUGAAGGUCUUCGGAUCGUAAAACUCUGUUAUUAGGGAAGAACAAAUGUGUAAGUAACUAUGCACGUCGUGACGGUACCUAAUCAGAAAGCCACGGCUAACUACGUGCCAGCAGCCGCGGUAAUACGUAGGUGGCAAGCGUUAUCCGGAAUUAUUGGGCGUAAAGCGCGCGUAGGCGGUUUUUUAAGUCUGAUGUGAAAGCCCACGGCUCAACCGUGGAGGGUCAUUGGAAACUGGAAAACUUGAGUGCAGAAGAGGAAAGUGGAAUUCCAUGUGUAGCGGUGAAAUGCGCAGAGAUAUGGAGGAACACCAGUGGCGAAGGCGACUUUCUGGUCUGUAACUGACGCUGAUGUGCGAAAGCGUGGGGAUCAAACAGGAUUAGAUACCCUGGUAGUCCACGCCGUAAACGAUGAGUGCUAAGUGUUAGGGGGUUUCCGCCCCUUAGUGCUGCAGCUAACGCAUUAAGCACUCCGCCUGGGGAGUACGACCGCAAGGUUGAAACUCAAAGGAAUUGACGGGGACCCGCACAAGCGGUGGAGCAUGUGGUUUAAUCCGAAGCAACGCGAAGAACCUUACCAAACCUUGACAUCCUCUGACCCCUCUAGAGAUAGAGUUUUCCCCUUCGGGGGACAGAGUGACAGGUGGUGCAUGGUUGUCGUCAGCUCGUGUCGUGAGAUGUUGGGUUAAGUCCCGCAACGAGCGCAACCCUUAAGCUUAGUUGCCAUCAUUAAGUUGGGCACUCUAAGUUGACUGCCGGUGACAAACCGGAGGAAGGUGGGGAUGACGUCAAAUCAUCAUGCCCCUUAUGAUUUGGGCUACACACGUGCUACAAUGGACAAUACAAAGGGCAGCGAAACCGCGAGGUCAAGCAAAUCCCAUAAAGUUGUUCUCAGUUCGGAUUGUAGUCUGCAACUCGACUAUAUGAAGCUGGAAUCGCUAGUAAUCGUAGAUCAGCAUGCUACGGUGAAUACGUUCCCGGGUCU